CGUCAUCUUUUCCGCUUGACUCUGCGGCCGGUGGGAAUGUUCUCGAACAUGUCGGAUGAAGAAGUAACACAAGCAGGACCUGAGCCCUAGGACCAUGCCCCAGGACUACCUGACAUGAUGACUCCUUGCUGUCCCCAGUCCACCUGGCCAUGCUGCUGCUCCAGUUUCAACUGGCCUGGGCCCCUAGGACCAUGUCCCAGGACUACCUGACAUGAUGACUCCUUGCUGUCCCCAGUCCACCUGGCCAUGCUGCUGCUCCAGUUUCAACUGUUCUGCCUUACUAUUAUUCGACCAUGCUGGUCAUUUAUGAACAUUUGAACAUCUUGGCCACGUUCUGUUAUAAUCUCCACCGAGCACAGCCAGAAGAGGACUGGCCACCCCACAUAUGCUCUCUCUAAUUCUCUCUUUCUUUCUCUCUCUCGGAGGACCUGAGCCCUAGGACCGUGCCCCAGGACUACCUGACAUGAUGACUCCUUGCUGUCCCCAGUCCACCUGACUGUGCUGCUGCUCCAGUUUCAACUGUUCUGCCUUAUUAUUAUUCGACCAUGCUGGUCAUUUAUGAACAUUUGAACAUCUUGGCCAUGUUCUGUUAUAAUCUCUACCCGGCACAGCCAGAAGAGGACUGGCCACCCCACAUAGCCUGGUUCCUCUCUAGGUUUCUUCCUAGGUUUUGGCCUUUCUAGGGAGUUUUCCUAGCCACUGUGCUUUUACACCUGCAUUGCUUGCUGUUUGGGGUUUUAGGCUGGGUUUCUGUACAGCACUUUGAGAUAUCAGCUGAUGUACGAAGGGCUUUAUAAAUAAAUUUGAUUUGAUUUG